UUAAAUUGAAGAGUUUGAUCAUGGCUCAGAUUGAACGCUGGCGGCAGGCCUAACACAUGCAAGUCGAACGGUAACAGGAAGCAGCUUGCUGCUUCGCUGACGAGUGGCGGACGGGUGAGUAAUGUCUGGGAAACUGCCUGAUGGAGGGGGAUAACUACUGGAAACGGUGGCUAAUACCGCAUAACGUCGCAAGACCAAAGAGGGGGACCUUCGGGCCUCUUGCCAUCAGAUGUGCCCAGAUGGGAUUAGCUUGUUGGUGAGGUAACGGCUCACCAAGGCGACGAUCCCUAGCUGGUCUGAGAGGAUGACCAGCCACACUGGAACUGAGACACGGUCCAGACUCCUACGGGAGGCAGCAGUGGGGAAUAUUGCACAAUGGGCGCAAGCCUGAUGCAGCCAUGCCGCGUGUAUGAAGAAGGCCUUCGGGUUGUAAAGUACUUUCAGCGGGGAGGAAGGUGUUGUGGUUAAUAACCG
rnacentral:rRNA from 1 species